ACUCCCCGAAACUAGACGAGCUACUCUAAAACAGCCCACAGAGCCAACCCAUCCCUGUUGCAAGAGGGCGGGAAGAUUUUAGAGUAGAGGUGACACACCUACCGAGCCUAGAGAUAGCUGGUUAUUUAAAAAACGGAUUUAAGUCCACCUUUAAGCUCAUAUAGUACAACUAAACACCCUCUACAAGCUUAAAAGCCAUUCAAAUAAGGUACAGCCUAUUUGAACUAGGAAACAACCUUUUACACCGGGUAACAUCUAAACAAGUGACCAAGUAGGCCUAAGAGCAGCCAACUUACAAAAGCGUUCAAGCUUCCCCACAACCAAUCUCCAAUCCCUUAAUCAAUUAACAACCCCCACUAACUACUAAAUGACCCCAUACUUAUAUGAGAGACAUUAUGCUAGAACUAGUAACAAGAAGAAGAACUUCUCCGACAUGUAAACGUUAGCCAAAAUGAACCCCCCACCGGCCUUUACCGCCACAAUAGUAUUAUACUUUCUAGAAAACUAUACUUUACCCGACGUCAACCUUACACUAGA
rnacentral:rRNA from 1 species